CCCACAUAUGACAGUCUGUACUAUCUGCAACAUAAAUCCAACGCACCUCUCCAGUAAGGUGGCCUAUGCACCGUCAGUGCCCUGCCCACUGUUUUAAUUUGCUGUCAUGCUGAACUUCUCAUUUGCUAAAAUUAGCUACCGCUGCUACUUCUGCUAUGCAGCAUUGAAAUAAACAAGCUAGCUAGCCAACAGUCUGGUCAUGUAGCUUCAGGACACUUUGUGGAGGAAUAAUCUGUUUAUACAGUUGUGGUAUUAUCAUCUGUUGGCUUCAAACACACGCAGAAGACAGAGUUUCCGGUGGCCAUGUUGGCAGCUCGGGACUACAUUCUUCCUAAAGGAAUGAUACUCUGGCAGUCAUGCCACUGCUUCACUGCAUCAAGGGGUUCGGCGACAGAGACGCAGAACAGGAGCGGAUGAAUGGCGAAUGAGGUCCCUGGCGGGGCCUUAGCUCUGGAGUGUCGACCGAAGGACCCCAGAGCUGCUGCCGUGAUUGGAUAACUCACCGAAAACAGGACUCCCAGGAUAAGAGCAUGCGGUCUGAGGCUUGGACCAAGAGUAUCAAGGACAUGCAGUUCAGAGCGUUGGACAAACGUGGACAGAGGAGGUUCAGAUCCUGACUCUGCAUUUAUUUGUUUGCAGACUGAAAUGAACUGCUAACUAACAAGCAGUGUCGGCUCACUGUUGCUUGGCAUGUGCACAGUAUUUAUUUUUUUUAAUGAUCAUUUUGAAACUAUAUUAAAACCUGGCAGAUUUCAUGGAGCUACUGCCUGUACUGAUGUCUUUAAUGAAGUUUGAGUUGUUGCCCUUCAUUAAUGGCAUUAUAAUUUGCCCUUUAAUUUAAUCACAGUGAAAGCAAAAGAUAGUGAUCCAUAUAAAAACAUGUCACA